GACGAACGCUGGCGGCGUGCUUAACACAUGCCAGUCGAACGAAGAGCGACGGAAGCUUGCUUCUAUCAAUCUUAGUGGCGAACGGGUGAGUAACGCGUAAUCAACCUGCCCUUCAGAGGGGGACAACAGUUGGAAACGACUGCUAAUACCGCAUACGAUCUAAUCUCGGCAUCGAGGAUAGAUGAAAGGUGGCCUCUACAUGUAAGCUAUCACUGAAGGAGGGGAUUGCGUCUGAUUAGCUAGUUGGAGGGGUAACGGCCCACCAAGGCGAUGAUCAGUAGCCGGUCUGAGAGGAUGAACGGCCACAUUGGGACUGAGACACGGCCCAGACUCCUACGGGAGGCAGCAGUGGGGAAUCUUCCGCAAUGGACGAAAGUCUGACGGAGCAACGCCGCGCGAGUGAUGACGGCCUUCGGGUUGUAAAGCUCUGUUAAUCGGGACGAAAGGCCUUCUUGCGAAUAGUGAGAAGGAUUGACGGUACCGGAAUAGAAAGCCACGGCUAACUACGUG
rnacentral:rRNA from 1 species